AGACAAGAAGACAAGAAAAUGAUUUGAGGACAGCUUCAAUCGCGGUGUGAAGAAGAAAGCAACAAAACGACCACUGAAAACAAUGCCGGUGGCAAAACAUCCAAAGAAAGGGUCCCAAGUGGUACAUCGUCAUAGCUGGAAACAGUCAGAGCCACCAGCCAAUGAUCUUUUCAAUGCUGCGAAAGCUGCCAAAAGUGACAUGCAGUGUGGCCAUGAGGUCUGCCGGAAGUGACUUGUUGGUGUUAUCUCCUGAGUUAAAAUGUGAAGGGAUUUUUUUUUUUCAGAUUACUGAGAGUCUUCAGUUACUAGUUUGUCUUUCCUAGAUCCAGACACGGGGACUGCAGAGAAAGGCUGUGUGCAUCCGCUGUCUACUCCACUGUCUCCUCUGCAGAGGCGGAUUUCCCUGACUGAAGACCAUGUUGCAGGCCCACAGCUGCCUACAGAACCGUCCCAAAAUAUGGCAAAGAAACCUAUUCUGAGGUUAAAUAUUUUGGUUUCUUUCAGUGGGAGGCAAGGGUCUUCCGGACUAGGGAGGUAGAUGUGCAGCAGCCUCAGGUGCUCUAGGUGCUUUGUAGCUACGCUGGCCAGGCCACCUGAGGUAGGUCCCCUUUGCACCAGUCUCACACCCUGCUGGGGGAUGGUAGUGGAGACAGCAGUAAAAGCAGGUCUGAGGCAGGUGUGGAGAUUAGUACAGGUGGCCUGGGCGAAGGGCAAAGGGUGAAGAGAAUGUUGGGAGCCAUGGGUGACUGGC
rnacentral:lncRNA from 10 species